rnacentral:rRNA from 1 species
UACGUAGGGAGCAAGCGUUGUCCGGAAUCGAUUGGGCGUAAAGCGCGCGUAGGUGGCUUCGUAAGUCCGUUGUGAAAGUCAAAGGCUCAACCUUUGAAAGCCGAUGGAUACUGUGGAGCUAGAGUACGGAAGAGGCGAGUGGAAUUCCUGGUGUAGCGGUGGAAUGCGCAGAUGUCAGGAGGAACACCAAUAGCGAAGGCAGCUCGCUGGGACGUUACUGACACUGAGGCGCGAAAGCGUGGGGAGCGAACAGGG